rnacentral:lncRNA from 1 species
AAUACUCAACAUGACUCUUCUUCUUUUAAAAAAAAUUUAGAAAUACAUGUACGAGUUUCAUGGCAUAUUAUUCUUUGAUCUUGGCAUGAUUAAUUUUCUGACCAGCAUUUAUGAGUAGGUUAAUAUAUUGUUGUCACUAAUUUCGCUUCAAAAUAUCAAUACAUUGUUUUGAAGACAUGUACUUCUUCUAACAAAAAAUAUGUGUUGUUUUUGUUUGAAUGGUUCUUCUACCGCUGCAUGCUAGCUCAAGCGUGAGGCUAAAUCAUCUUAUUAAGGUCAAAAUGAGAAGUUAAAGUUAAUUAUGGCUUUGAGAAUUUUUUUUUAUGUAAAGGUUAGUUUUAAUUGCAAUGUUUUAUUUUAAUUUACAGGUAGUCGAUGAAUGUCGAUCGGCUUUGAAGAAUUUUUUUAGGUAAAGGUUAGGUUUAAUUGUAUCGUUUUAAUAUCUCUAUUACUGUAUUGUUUUGUGGUAGUUUACAGGUCGUAGAUGAUAGUUUACAGGUAGUAGAUGAAUGUUGAUCAGCUUUGAGAAUUUUUUAUUUGUAAAGGUUAGGUUUAAUUAUAUUAUUUUGGUAUCUUUUUUACUGUAUUGUUUUGUUAUAAUUUACAGAUGAUAGAUAAAUAUCGACUAGCUUUGAAAAAUCUUUUUAGGUAAAGAUUAUGUUUAAUUGUAUUGUUUUGAUAUCUCUUAUUUGAGCAUUUUUUUAUGUAAAGGUUAGGUUUGGAUGUAAUGUUUUGCUAUGUCUAUCAUCAUAUUAUUUGUUGUAGUUUAUAGAUGGUAGAUGAAUGUCCUUCGACUUUGAGAAAUUUUUUGUGUAAAGGUUAGAUUUAAUUGUAUUGUUUUCAUAUCUCUAUCAUCAUAUUAUUUUGUCAUAGUUUACAAGUUUUAGAUGAAUGUCAAUCGGC